UCUCCCAAAUAUAUUUGUGUAGCUCAAGGUAUUGACACCUAUCCAGUCAAUUCCUCUACAGUAGUGGGAAGCAUGCUCACAACACGGUGGGAGACAGAGGGCACGUAUUUGUUGCAUAGGCUCAGGUGGGUGGUCUGAAAAUUAAAGUUUAAAGCUCUCCUGUGGAUCUGGUAACCUCUUGCAUGGGAGCAGAAGCACUCUGAGCUGUCAUGGCUGGGUGUGCAAAGGCUCUUCUACUAGUUGGGAGCCUCUGAUAUUUUAUUGUCUGCCUAGGAGGUGUGACUGGUUGUUCAUCUUCAUCAGUUUUGCACCUCAAAUGGUGUGAAGAAGGUGGAAAUCAGGAGUAAGCAGGUCCCUCAGAACUGUGAUGUCCUGGGAAGAGGAGAUGGCAGAAGAACGCUGUGGAAGAGAUGGCAGAAGAAAGCUGUUAGGUUGUAGUGAGGCAAUGUUCCUUUGACGUCUUGUGCACUGGCAAAGGUCUUUUCCUGGGGAAGAAGGAGUUGCUUGUGGUGUGAAUAUGAUCCUGUGAAGGUAAGGGCACUUAUUCUUUAUUAGUUUUUUUAUUCCUAGGUUUAUUCUUGGCCAAACCUGAAGCUUCUUGAGUUGUCUUUAAGACAGCACUAAUCUUCUGGCAACUGCAGAGUCAGGGAAUUAAUUGCAGGAGAAGCACAAAUGCGCAUUUCCUUGUUUGCUGGGCCAGGCAUCCCUCGGUCCCACAGAUCCCGCCCGUUUCUCCAAGCGCGCACGCGGCGUGCUCCAGCAAAGCCCACUGCUGCCCUUGGAGGGCGUUUCCUCGUUGUUUGUACUGCCCCUCGCGCCUUUCCUUUUCUCUCUGAUACAUCGCACAUUGCCAGCUGGUAUUUGUAACAUGUUCCGUAGAAUUCUAAAAUGAAACUUCUUUGGAGGAGGUCAGCACGCUGUGCGGGACACAUCCUGUGUGUGGGCUGCAUCUGACAGAUUCCUGUCGCUGUUAUCCAACAGGCCUGUCAGAAACGACAGCACCUGCCCGUGGACUGCCCUAACACAGCAAUACCAGCCAAAGCAAGAAGUGUUAAUAGUAUUGUUUGCCCCUGUGGGCUCGUAUUUGUAGUCUCUCCGCAGUAGGAGAGAGGCAGUGUAAAUAUCUGGAUGGAUAGUUACUUGUUUUGGAAUAAUGAUACCCGGCACCAUUCAGUUCUGAGCAGUCAAUGUACAAUUAUUGCAGUAGGAAACAGCACAGAAGGUUGCUUAAGAGUUUUUCAGUUAUCUGUGACUUUGCUACCCACAGACAGGUAAAGAGGUAACUUACCUAAAAGUUUUGUCAUUCUGGAAAUAGUGCCAAAGAUCAGAUCUUCCUGAUCCAUUGCUGGGAAGAUCUGUUCUCACACUUAUGCCUACAUGCUAGAGAUUUUUCUGUUACAUUUCUUUUUUGUGAUGGAUGAAAUCACUUUUUUAUAUGAUUAUGUAAGGUCGUUUGACUCCUGCCUGUGUUGAAGCAGUUAGUGCAUUUGACAUGUUAUUAGCACUCUACAGCAGUGCCCAAUAGGGGUUCUCAAAACAGCCUUUGCUUCACCCUCUCUCUUAGCUUAUCUGCAUUCCAAGCCACUUAAUUUUCCAUGUGGUCCACUGUUAGCCUCCCAUUACAAAUUAUCUGAUCUCAACUCACAGCCUAAUUUUUCUUACUAUAUUCAGUGGAACUACUGACCACUGAGUUUAGCAGAUCCAGGUUGCUGUUAUACCUGUGAGAAUUUACUGGUUCCAUUAUUUCUGCUUAUUUUGUAAGUUUUGCAAGGCUUUUUGGUUCCCUGCUGCCUUGAUUUCAAAUACGUGACCUUGAAAUCAGUUGAUUUGAACAUGUCUUUCGUUUUCAUUUGCAGUCCCUAGAGGAUUGUACUUGCAGAAUUACCUAACUGUGCUGAAUUAAGAGCCAGAGCCCAGUUGAAAUUCCCAGACCAAAGGAUAUGAUAGUCUCUAGUAACCUUGGUGCUUUUCUUAUGCUUUUUUCUAAACAAUGCCUUUUUGCCUUGUAUAUGAUCAGUGAUUUUGAAAAAAAGUAGUUCCUUAGUUGCCUAUUACAAUUUAAGAAAAUAGUUGUCCUCUUCCUGCUUAUGUGCACACUUUUUCCUUCCUUUGGUGUUGAUAAAUUGAUCAUCUCUUUCCAUUAUGUUAUGGGAAAACAUUGAAUAGACAUAAUUUUAUAGACAAAGUAAGGGAAAAUCUAACAACUUGGUAUGUGUAAGUAUGGCAAAAUUGGCAAAUACGAAGUGCAGGCCAACAGCUAAGGAGAAGAAGGGAAGAGUUACAGACACUAAAUAAAGACAGGAUGAGGCAAGAGGAAGGACAGGGGAUACUUGGCAAGAGAGCCCCAAUGAUUUGGGUCAGCUUUACUCCCAUUGAAUUUGAGUGUUAUCCCAAAUAUAUUGAGAUAGGACAUCCAAAGCCUUCCCAGAGGGGGAGAUCUUAGCCCAGAGAGCAUCAUGGGAUAGGGCUCAGAGCACGGAGGAGAAAAGGAGACAUGCAAGGACAAAAGGAGUGAGAAAAGCAGAGUGAGUGAGUAGGGAGGAAGAAAAGCAGAGGAGUCUGGAGCAGCCUGAGAUAGGACGUUGUAAAGCCAAAUUGGGAUCUGUGGAUGCCAUGGGACAGAGAGAGAGAAACAGCAAGCGUUUCUCACAGUAGCUUGUGAGAAGUUUUAGGGAGCUGGGAAGAUGUGAUAACUUGUUGCCUAUAAACAAGUAGCAGGUGGUGUUUUUUUACUUUAUUUUUCUGUUCCUCUCAAGGACAGUGCGUGAGAAAGAUGUUUCUGUUAGUUAGCCAAUAGAAUAGAAUCUAUCGUACCACUCUAUAAAAACCGCGCGGUUCUUUUGAAUAAAGCCUUCUUUGCCUUUGCUAUGGUCCUGCCUCUUGCCUGUUCCUGCCCCGACCUCGGCCCAAGAGUGACAGGGAUCUUGAGCACACAACUUGAAUUUGACCUGAAAGUAGAGAGGAUGACAGCAUUUCUGCCCUGUGUUAGGUCUGCAUUCAGAAUUUCAAGCUUUGUUUUGCCUCUGGAGUCCUCAGUCUUGCUCAGUCCCAUUAGAGCGGGGGUGGGCAAGUCGGGUUUUAGUGACAGUGAGUUUCCAUCCUUGGGCACCUGCACCAGUCAUGCCUGGUAAAUGUUACUGGGGGGAACUAACAGCAGCUUUUUGGAGAGCAGCACUGAUACCACAGUCAUGUUUUCCCCAGCUAAGCACAGGGGCUGUGUGGAGAGCUGUGUUUGAUGGCACCUGGGGCAGCAGAAGGGCACAGAGGUUAUUUCUGCUACUUGCAUGUCUGCUGGAGAAGGUGGAGGUGUCCCUGUGCCAUACUGGUAAUACAACAAACUGCUGUGAAAGCUCUGAUUAGAAGAUGAAGUAUGAUGCUAUAAAUAAGGUAACUUACUGACUGAAGAAAAACUAAUAAUGAGAUGAACAAUUAGCUUAUCUUUCACCUUCCUAGAUACUUUAAGAGCUAAAGAUUUAGAAUUAAUCUAGAAGAAGCUGGAGAAUUAAUUUGAAGCUGCUUAAGGCUGAUUUAUGGUACUCUUCUGGAGGAAGAGACUUACUUGAAAUUAGCUUAAUUCUCACUUUAUUAUUGUUACUAGUCAAAUUAAUUGCUGUCUUUGUCAGAGACCAUAAACCCUCAAAAAUCUGAUAAUAUUUACUUAGUUGUUUUUAUUUCUUGGAAGGUGAAGAUGUGUAAAAAAACCCAGGAACUUUGGUGGCAGUUUUUUAGAAUGAAGAAUCUUCGUAAUAUACAUUAAUCUAUAGAACAUAAUUUGAAAUCUUGUGCCUUUUGACGUUUGCACUUGUUCUACUUGUGUUUUGUCUCUUUUUUCCAGUCACGAUUUCAAAAAUGUCGGAGUAGCCACAACAGAGCAUUUAUCCUGUUCCCACCUGUGCUCUGUGAUGUGCAAAAAUAAUGUUAGUACGCAGAGAUCUUGACUUCCUCUUGAAUGCAUCUGGAUGAUUUUAUUAUGCAGUCCACUGUGCCUGUGAUCUAUCUGAGAGCAGCUGGUGAUGAGCAUUGCCAAGAUAUUGGACUGGGCUGCUGAUCAUUUUGUGUAUUUCAGAAAACUUGAAAAACAAGAUUCAUGAAACAACACUCAUACACCACAGCCUCACCACAAAGACCUUAGGGUGGCCAUGGCUGUACAAAGUAUCUUAACCAGCCAUCUUUCACCCUUUCACAAAUCUUUUCUUUUUGAAGGUAACUGUGGGUGGUCUUCUUUUGUCCAAUUUCUGUAAAUUUGGUACAUAAUUUUCUAGUUAUGCAGCUGAUUCUUGUGUUUAUGUGAAUGGCUAUUUAAAAAAAGGAAAGAUCAGAUGUUUGUUGUUUCAUUUCAACAUAAAUCAAACUUUGUACUCACAUAGCAAUUCUAGUUUAGUCCCAGGAAUAGCUUUAGUAUUGCUAAGUGUCUGGAGAGUAUUGACUACAGAGACAUGAUUUUAAGCAGGCUAUAAUAGUUUCUACAGCUGUUAACAGUUCUCAGAAGAAAGGCAGUAUUAUUCAUCGGUAUUUAAAAUGUGCAUGACUUGCAUUGCACAGAAGUCAAAUUGGGAGAAUGUCAGAAUUUUUUUUUUCUGAAAUUCUGCCAGGAAAGUCUUCAAUAACUGGAGAAAUUCUUUUCACUAGUGAAAUCAACAUGCAGCACAUUGUGUUAUUAUACUUGCUUAUAGCUCACCAUGAAAGUUGUCUUUGUAUGCGUGGAUGUACGGCUUGUACUGUUUUGUUUUUAUUUAUUCUGCAUUCUUUAUUAUAAUGUUCUUUCCUUUUUUUCCAGACCAGAAAGAUUGUUAUUGAGCCUUCUACAAAGCUGAAAUAAUGCUGUGUGUUAAAAAAAUGUUAACAAUUCUAAGAAGUUAUAAAAAUUUAUAAGUUGACUGAAUACUUUGGAAAUUUCUGCAUAUUUUAAUAUAAAUAGGUGCUGGCAGCACAAGGAGCUGAGAGCAGUGGAAGUCCAGAGGUCCAGGGCACCAGAGGAGGUCACCAGGAGCUGUCAUGCCUUAUAGGCCCUGCAAGAAAGAGAAAGGGAAAAUGAUUCAUUGUUUGAUGCAAGCCUCUGUAGCACAGGUUCAUCCCCUUUGUGCUGCAGCUCUUGGUCACUCCAUCCAGCAUGGACAAAAAGGCUGCACAGCAUUCAGAAAUACUGAUCUAGUUGACUACAUGAAUUUGUAACCAGCAGCUCAGCAGCUCCUUCAUGAACCAUCCUUCCAGGAGGGAAACAUCACAAAGAUGGAUUCCUUUAGCAAGGAAGAUAUGACAGGUUGUGAUUUGGACUGCAGUGAAGUUGCACCGGUGCUGUUCUACCCUUCAUGAGUGAGCACUGCUGGGCUGUGCAGCUGGCAAGCUCAUGCCCUUUUUUUGGAGGUUUGAGUCAACUGCUUUUAAUCUGGGAGCUUACAGAAUGGGUAAGUGCAGCCAUGUAUGUGCUGGGUAGAUGUCACGCUCAGGGAUUUGUGCAUGGAUCUCUCCUUGGCCUGAACUGGAGAAGGGCAAGAGUUUGUUCACUUUUGCUUUCUGUCACUGAGAAAAAUGAAUGCUGUUCUAUAAAGCUAUAAUUUCUUCCCAAGCAGAUGAUGACUAAAGAAGGCCUGAACUGAGUAUAGAUAAUCUUAUAUUUACUUGAAAUGAAUGUAGCUCAUAACUCUUAUUUUAGCACCAAUCUGGAACUCUACUGUGAGCAGAUUUAUGUCUGCCUCUUCCCUACCUUGGCAUUCUGGCAUUUAUGCACUCACUGAACUGGUAGUGCACAUUCUUGCAGGGAUACUUGAGAGUUUAAUGAAGCCCAAGUGUCUGAAAGGUGAGUAGGUAAAAGGUAGAUACUUUGAGAUCCAAACCUAUUCCUUUUGUGUGCUCCACAGUCUUAUUUUAGUUCUUAAAUAUAGUUUCAUUCUUCUGAUACUAAGAGUUAGCACUGAUUUCAGUAUGUGAAUCAUCAGGAGAGUUAUUAACUGUUUUGUAGUUGCAUGGUCCUUUGUUGAAAAUACCUAACUUCAACCAUGUGUUUUUAGAUGAGAUACAGGAAGCCUUUUCUGUGAUUAUAGAAGAGCAGAUUUAAUCUGGAAGUCAUUGAGAGAAACCAAUAAAGAAUUUCCUUGAUGUGAUUUUUGGAGUUACUUGCUGGAAUUGAAUUGCAUGGUUUUGGGUAUUGGACAUAAGGGCACUUGAGAGCUUAAAGAAGCUUAAAUAUAGAUGAUAAUGAAAAUGUUAUUGGUAUUUAUAGGUCAGUUGAUAAUGUCAGCAUAUUAAAGUGAUCUGAAAUAUCUCCUUGAUUUCAUGGACAGUGCAUUACUUUAUUCAGUUUAUUGUAAUAACAUGAUCUUUGAUAUACAUUUUAUUUAUUACAUAUAUAUAUUUUAGCUUUAUAAAAUUUUUUUAGUAAUCCAAUUGCCCUGAAAUGCCAUAUCAAAAAUAUGUUUAUUAGAACAAGUACAGUUACUCUCUGCCAGUGUUAUCUCUAUGAAAGCAGCCUAAGCUAAGAAAGCACAUUUGGAAAAAACGUGCCGAGCAGAGGUGGUUGGUUUUUUGUCUUUUUGUUAGACUUUCUGAGAACAUUCAUUAAUAGUAGGAGAUGUGGUCUUUCAACUAAAUUUCUUUCACCCAGAUUAUAUGCAAAUUGCAGGAUUCUUCAAGCAUAAAGUCAUAUGCCAUGAGUAUGAUAUUAGCAUUUCUUUUAAUAAAAAUAACUUUUAAAUAGGUACCUUGUUUGGUGAAUUGCCUUCCUUAUCAUUCAUAACUGUGUAACAUCUUUGUAGAACGACAGUAACUGAAAGGAAGGAAGGAAAAUACUGGACAGUGUUUCUUGGAACUGGGAUUGGCAGAGGUCUGCCGUUCUGGAAGAGAAAUACUGAUUUUGGUUCUUUAUUUUGUCCUGGCCUUUUAAUGCUGUUGUGUAUUGGAAGAAAAGAAUAAAAGGGAGCACUAGAUGAGCUGUGAGUUCCCUUUGGACCAGACUUUGGGAGUCUCUGCUCUGACAGAUCUUUUGGGGUUACUUUAUCCUGAGGGACUUUAUUCACAAAAUCUCAGAACAUAUUCUUCCAAUAAGAUUUCAUAUAGUUCGAUAAAUGUUUGGAUAAAUUUCAUACCAUCUUAUCAAAGCAGACAAUAGUUCUUUCUUGAGGAACUGAGCUUAAGUGAAAUGCUCAUUUAUGUUGGUGGAAUAAUUAAGAGUACAAGAUCCAAAUCAGUGCUUUGUUAUUCUGUUGCAGGAGUAGGCUGAAUCAAGCCUCUGUCAAGAACCACUGCUGAAAUACUGAAUUAACAUACCCAAGACCAGCACAUCAGGAGGAUAGCCUUCUACCAAAAAUAGUGUGGAGGUUUGAUCAUCUCCUUAGUGCAAGCCGUGCACCUUCACCUAGAUUCCUUCCCAGGCAGCUACAGUGGAUCUUCUCACCAAGGGAAUUUGUCCCACUGGAUUCCUUUUUUUUUUUUUUUUUUUUUUCCUGUGCAGUUGAAUGAAAAGUGUGUGUCUUUUGAAGAACAGCAACUGAAAGAAAUAUUGAUGACUGCCAGGGCAUCUACAGAAAAAGAUAAGAAAAUUACUCUACUACAACAGUGAAAACAAAGGGGCUUUGUUAACACUUUCUUGUAGGUUGUAUAUAUUAAUAGUAACAAGUAAAGUUUUGUAUUUUUUCAGAGAAACACACAAGGCCUUGAAUUGUAUUGUUUUAAUUGCAACUAACUGAAUGAAUUAAGUGGAAAAUCGCACACAGUACUUUGAUUGUCUAAUUCUCUGUAUGUGAGGCUUUGGGAACAGUUUGUUAUUAUAAAAGAACAGCACUAACCAGAAAUCAGCCAACAUGUAAUUGCUAGGCUAAGGGGCAGUUUGGGGAAAGCUGAUACUUAUUUAUACAUUAUUAAAUAAAAGCACAUAAUAUGA